GGGUGUGUGGCGCAAUGGUUUAGCGUGUUCGGCUUCGAUUGCCUGCGUAAACCGUACCGAAAGGUUGCAGGUUCGAGUCCUGCCAUGCUCG